GCAUAUCAUAAGCGGAGGAAAAGAAACCAACAGGGAUUGCCCUAGUAACGGCGAGUGAAGCGGCAACAGCUCAAAUUUGAAAUCUGGCGCAAGCCCGAGUUGUAAUUUGUAGAGGAUGUUUCUGGCGACGUGCCUUCCGAGUUCCCUGGAACGGGACGCCAUAGAGGGUGAGAGCCCCGUACGGUUGGAUGCCUAGCCUCUGUGAAACUCCUUCGACGAGUCGAGUAGUUUGGGAAUGCUGCUCUAAAUGGGAGGUAUACGUCUUCUAAAGCUAAAUACCGGCCAGAGACCGAUAGCGCACAAGUAGAGUGAUCGAAAGAUGAAAAGCACUUUGAAAAGAGGGUUAAAAAGUACGUGAAAUUGUUGAAAGGGAAGCGUUCAUGACCAGACUUGGGCAGGUUGAUCAUCCGUGGUUCUCCGCGGUGCACUCUGCCUGCCCAGGCCAGCAUCAGUUCGCCCCGGGGGAUAAAGGUUUCGGGAAUGUGGCUCCUCCGGGAGUGUUAUAGCCCGUUGCGUAAUACCCUGGGACGGACUGAGGUUCGCGCUCUGCAAGGAUGCUGGCGUAAUGGUCAUCAACGACCCGUCUUGAAACACGGACCAAGGAGUCGUCUUCGUAUGCGAGUGUUCGGGUGUCAAACCCCUACGCGUAAUGAAAGUGAACGUAGGAGAGAGCUUCGGCGCAUCUCCGACCGAUCCUGAUGUUCUCGGAUGGAUUUGAGUAAGAGCAUACGGGGCCGGACCCGAAAGAAGGUGAACUAUGCCUGUAUAGGGUGAAGCCAGAGGAAACUCUGGUGGAGGCUCGCAGCGGUUCUGACGUGCAAAUCGAUCGUCAAAUAUGGGCAUGGGGGCGAAAGACUAAUCGAACCUUCUAGUAGCUGGGUUUCCGCCGAAG
rnacentral:rRNA from 1 species